CGCAGCCGCGGUAAUUCCAGCUCCAAUAGCGUAUAUUAAAGUUGUUGCAGUUAAAAAGCUCGUAGUUGAACUUCGGGGUUCACCCAUUGGUCAGGCUUAAUUGUCUGCACUGGUGAGAUGAGUCUCUACCUUCUGAGGAACUUUCAUGCCAUUUAUUUGGUGUGGUUGGAAAUCAGGACUGUUACUUUGAAAAAAUUAGAGUGUUUAAAGCAGGCUAACGUCUGAAUACAUUAGCAUGGAAUAAUGAAAUAGGACGGACUGAUUCUAUUUCGUUGGUUUCUAGGAUCACCGUAAUGAUUAAUAGGGAUAGUUGGGGGCAUUAGUAUUCAAUUGUCAGAGGUGAAAUUCUUGGAUUUAUUGAAGACUAACUACUGCGAAAGCAUUUGCCAAGGAUGUUUUCAUUAAUCAAGAACGAAAGUUAGGGGAUCGAAAGACGAUCAGAUAACCGUCGUAGUCUUAAACCAUAAACUAUGCCGACUAGGGAUCGGACGAAGUUAAUUUUAUAAUGAGACGUUCGGCA
rnacentral:rRNA from 1 species